rnacentral:rRNA from 1 species
CCUACGGGAGGCAGCAGUGGGGAAUAUUGGGCAAUGGGCGCAAGCCUGAUGGAGCAACACCGCGUGAGUGAAGAAGGGUUUCGGCUCGUAAAGCUCUGUUGUUGGAGAAGAACGUGCGUGAGAGUAACUGUUCACGCAGUGACGGUAUCCAACCAGAAAGUCACGGCUAACUACGUGCCAGCAGCCGCGGUAAUACGUAGGUGGCAAGCGUUAUCCGGAUUUAUUGGGCGUAAAGCUAGAGCAGGCGGUUGCUUAGGUCUGAUGGGAAAGCCUUCGGCUCAACCGGAGAAUUGCAGCAGAAACUGGUGAACUUGAGUACAGUAGAGGAGAGUGGAACUCCAUGUGUAGCGGUGGAAUGCUUAGAUAUAUCGAAGAACACCGGUGGCGAAGGCGGCUCUCUGGUCUGCAACUGACGCUGAGGCUCGAAAGCAUGGGUAGCAAACAGGAUUAGAUACCCGAGUAGUC